GCCAGCAGCCAUAUCGCUCUGCAACUCACGACUCACAACUGGCAACCCAGUGAAGCUAAGCAGGUAUGAGCCUGGCCAGUACCUGGAUAGGAGACCUCCUGGGAAAAACUAAGGUUGCUGCUGGAA
rnacentral:rRNA from 1 species